GAAGGCGGGUCAAAGCGAUAUUCGGAAUCAUUGGGCGUAAAGAGCGUGUAGGCGGCCGGUCAAGUCAGAGGUGAAAGACCAGGGCUCAACCCUGGAAGGGCCUUUGAAUCUGGUCGGCUUGAGUGCGGGAGAGGGAAGUGGGAUUCCUGGUGUAGAGGUGAAAUUCGUAGAUAUCAGGAGGAACACCGGUGGAGAAGGCGACUUCUUGGCCCGACUCUGACGCUGAGAUGCGAAAUCGUGGGGAGCAGACAGG
rnacentral:rRNA from 1 species